UACGUAGGGUGCAAGCGUUAAUCGGAAUUACUGGGCGUAAAGCGUGCGCAGGCGGUUUUGUAAGUCUGACGUGAAAGCCCCGGGCUCAACCUGGGAAUUGCGUUGGAGACUGCAAGGCUUGAAUCUGGCAGAGGGGGGUAGAAUUCCACGUGUAGCAGUGAAAUGCGUAGAGAUGUGGAGGAACACCGAUGGCGAAGGCACGCCCCGUGGUCAAGAUUGACGCUCAUGCAACGAAA
rnacentral:rRNA from 1 species